CAGCCGCCGCGGGAAUACGAAGGGGGCUAGCGUUGCUCGGAAUUACUGGGCGUAAAGGGCGCGUAGGCGGACAGUUAAGUUGGGGGUGAAAGCCCGGGGCUCAACCUCGGAAUGCCUUCAAUACUGGCUGUCUUGAGUAUGAGAGAGGUGUGUGGAACUCCGAGUGUAGAGGUGAAAUUCGUAGAUAUUCGGAAGAACACCAGUGACGAAGGCGACACACUGGCUCACUACUGGCGCUGAGGCGCGAAAGCGUGGGGAGCAAACAGGAUUAGAUACCCCGGUAGUCCCUGUCUCUUAUACA
rnacentral:rRNA from 1 species